UCCUAAUUAAGACUUAGAGUCCAAAAGAAGGUACUAUGGACCUCCAAAAGACACGAAUUGGGCCUGAGCUUGGGAAGAAAUGCUCAUGGUCCAACCGCAGGGGUACAGGCACGAUGAGGGGGUACAGAACAACAAGGCCCAAACUGGAUCUAAGCCUCAAACCAGACACGUGAGCAACGCUCUGAAGCCAAACGCAAGCGUUUCCCACCUACUGAAGCCAAAUGCGCUUAUGCAGAAAAGCUACGCAGACGAACGAAAAAACACCACAUGCAAAAGCGCUUAUUCAGAAGCAGCUUAUUCACAAGCAGAAAGGUUCUCAAAUCUCAUAUGGAGAUUAUUCUUAAAGCUCACAGCCAACGGUAAACAAUAACAUCGUCCAAAAUUCCAUACAUCGUCAUGGCAAAGGAAUCGAAGCGUAAGCAUAAAGAUCAAGAAUCACCUGGCGAAGAUGAAAACGAAGGUGGCGACGAUGAUGACGAUCACGAGCGCAGCUUCCAAACGCCUUUCUUCCUCUUCUCGCACUGUUUCUGGUUGUUUUCAAUCCACUUCUUCUUGCGAUUCUGGUUUGGAUCCGUUACGGUGAUGGCUGAGAGAUGAAGCUUGAUGCGUAGAUGAUGAUUGAAAUGGAGCGACGCGUCACCGAACGGAAGCGCUUCAAUUCUGAGAAGGUUGGUACAGUGAAUGUGGUUGAAGAAUCGAGGUGGAAGAGGAGGUUGAAGUGGUGGCUUAGCUCUGCCGUGUGGAGCUUCGAAUGAUGAAGCUCCCACAACAAUGGAGGAUGAGCGUGUACUGAAGGUGAGGAUUGAGUGCAGAAGCUUCUGGGAAUCAGGGAAAAAUCGUUCGAACCCAAUGAUUGGCAAUGAUUGCCUCUUAUAUAGGCGUGAUCCAAGGGGCAAAUUGGAGAAUUGGAUUUGGGUUGUUAGAUCCUGAUUUUGCCAGCUGGAUUUAAGUGAAGGUCUGUGUUGGUAUGCUCGGAUAACUUGGUUGUAGGGGUGCUUGUGAGUGAGGGUGCUGUUGUGGAUCCUUUGAUUGCUGCAGUUGCUAUCAGAGAAGUUGCCGAAAUGGGGAACGAAUACCCGUUAUUGUGAACUGUUGGUGUAGGCUGUUACGAGCAACGUGAUAACGAGUUGCGCACCUCUUUCGUUGUGGUCGAGCAUUGGUUGUAAUCUGGCUCUAGACAGAUUGGGAUUGAGAAAGCAUGCCGGAAUAAGACCUAUCAUUUGAUGACUCACCACCAGCUGCCCUUUUAUCAAGUCUAAGCUCUUCGUGCGUAUCAGGGUGAGUCAUUUUCACAAGAGUGGUAUGGUUCAUGCACACUGCAAAUGGUGCCUCGUCCGUUCUAGUUGGUGCCUUGAAAUAUGAUGCAACACCCUUGUCCCUUUUGCUGUUGACAUGUAUUGCUCUACAGGAUGUUUUUGCAGUCUUCAUAUGUUGGUGUAAAUUGGCCCUUGAUUUCCUAUUUAUUAGCAGGACACAUCAACUCUGCAUCAAGCUUUUUGCGGAGUAGUUUUCAGGUCUGCAGUAGGUUUGUGACCAUUGCCAUCCUGCAAC